CCUACGGGAGGCAGCAGUGGGGAAUAUUGCACAAUGGGGGAGACCCUGAUGCAGCGACGCCGCGUGAAGGAAGAAGUAUUUCGGUAUGUAAACUUCUAUCAGCCGGGAAGAAAAUGACGGUACCUGCCUAAGAAACCCCGUCUAACUACGUGCCAGCAGCCGCGGUAAUACGUAGGGGGCAAGUGUUAUCCGGAUGUACUGGGUGUAAAGGGAGCGUAGGCGGCGAUGCAAGUCAGAAGUGAAAGCCCGGGGCUCAACGCCGGGACUGCUUUUGAAACUGUAUGGCUAGAUUGCAGGAGAGGCAAGUGGAAUGCCUGGUGUAGCGGUGAAAUGCGUAGAUAUUAGGAGGAACACCAGUGGCGAAGGCGGCUGGCUGGACUGUAAAUGACGCUGAGGCUCGAAAGCGUGGGGAGCAAACAGGAUUAGAUACCCGAGUAGUC
rnacentral:rRNA from 1 species